GUUUUCACUUGCAAUCAACACCUUUUUGUUGCGAGCUUAAUCAAAUCCCUAUCGGUUUGGAUUGUGAUUAACAAUAAUAAUAGCAAAAAAAUCGCCUUCAUUUCAGACCUUAAGAGGCUAAAUUCCUCCUUACGAGAUCUGGGUUUUCUUGAUUUUAUAUUAUGUUUUGAUUCUCUAUUCUUGAUUGCAAUCUAUACUGUUUAAUCGAGAUUUUUUAACGAAACCGAGGGUUUAAUGCCAUAUCUUUUUUUUU
rnacentral:misc_RNA from 1 species